GAUCAGAAAGCAGCCGCUCGAGACGUGCGCGUUAUGUUUGUUGUUUGCCCAUGCUUUCUAAGUAUCUAAGUGUGCAAGUAUCAUAACUUGUAGUGGUACCACUCUUGUAGAAAAAUAUAUGCACACAAUCACAGGAACGUUACCUUUGCAAACAUAUUAUUGGGAGUAAUUUAAUCCCCACAACAAAUAGGCGAACAUACUGUUUCAUUUAUUUGCGAUGCAGUUGGAAGCGGCGCCAAACAGACCAAUGGCAAUCACAACAGUCUUCUCAGCAGUCAGCACCACCGGGACAUGUGCUUUCGUACUGCAGCGACACAGCUCUUGAGCAGCAACAAGACACGUGUGAAACAGACUCCAGAACAUGCCUUUGUGAAGUGACGGAACCGUCAAGAAGCAGCCCAAUGGAUCUGCAGUCAUCGAGUAGUAUGACAACAGAAGUUCCUGCUGCCAGUGUGACUUAUGUCGUAAUUGAAAUAAAAGUGGCUAAAUUUCUGAACAUGGUGCGUACCUCUAACUCGACGUCGUCUACGAUCUUGUCGGACACCUGUGACACGCACUUGGCUUUCACUCUCACAUCACCGUCCACAAUUUGUUCGACGCCGUACACGUUCAGAAGCAGACGCUCCCCUAUCGUGAGGUUGCCGCCACGAAAAAAAAAAGCUGUCGGCGUCGGCAACCUUCUUGAAACCGCACGGCAAUCCUUGCAUCGCUGUUGCGCAAGCAUGCGAUCUGCCGUCGUCGAAAACGGAGCGCCGUGAGAACGAGCAGCGAAGAAAAGCGCGGACGGCACAAUGCAAACAAAGCGGAGACUACGGCACGACGCGACCGCGCUGCUUGGCGUUUCCACAUUGAGGCGCUGUCAGGAGGCGCAGUAGCGCCGCGUGGCCAUGGUUUUCUCGUCUAUUGCGCGAGCACAGCGUGAUUCGGUGACACGCCCGCCCACUGCUUUAGUGCUAGUUUAAGACAUUUAUUCUGUUGGUCGCGCUGCCGAUCUCGCGACUCGUCGGCCUCCGUGAAGAGUGGAAUUUCCAUCGCAUUGCGCUUCUAAAAGCGCACGUUAAUGUUUUCGGCUCGUCGUCAAGACCCCAAGGGCUUGUGUUUUGCACAGCGAAAAUGAACGGCGUCGGUCAACGAAGAACAUCACCGGAUUCACGUCGACAGAAGACCAACCUUGGCGACGACGGACUUCUUCCGGUGCCCGGUGAAUAUACGCUUGACCUAUGUGAACUGGCUAGCUGGUUACAGGAUAAAAAUGGGAAAGCGCCGACCCAGCGGGGCUCAUCAAAGGAAAACCAAAAGGGAGCGAGCCAGGACUCUUCAAUCCAUGGUUGGGUCAGUUCACAAAUAUGUGAGGACCUCGUUGCGUCUGCCCACAAAUGACGCCGCAGAGGUUAGUGCGAGAAUAUGCGCAUGCAAAGAAGGGGAGCGGCAAAACGAAGACUGCUUGCAACCCAGUACAUCUAUGCCUCCUGACGCGCACGAGCUGUUUGUGGACAGACUGGUUGAUUCGUUGGAAUGAGAUGGAUGCAGAUGUGCAGGAACACAGCAGCUAGACAACGCAUCCCAAAAUUUCGAAGCCAGUAUAUUUGUGCACACUGGGGUGGACCCAGUACAUCAGUCCGAUGCUUCUCAAACCCGCAUUCUCGAUGACAGCCAAGUGGUGGAGAUGGUCAGAGAAGAGCCACAAUACGUGCAGCCCAGCUCAGUACAAGAAGGCGAGGACCCUGUGACGUCAUCUAAAGGCACUAAAGCUCAAGCAUUAUCGAACUACAGAACGACGACAGACGAGAACACGGACCGCACAACAGUUCCCGGAAUUUAUUGCCAAAUGGAACUUCUUUGAGUCCCUCCCUAAUCUUACCGUUAUCUUUCGCUUGUUCCUCACGAUCUGCGUGUCAGUUGCACCAUGUGAAAGGAAUUUUUCCAAGUUAAAGCUGAUCAAAACGUCCCUGCGUUCACCAUGAGUGAUGAAAGGCUGUCAAAUUUGGCGAUACGGACCAUAGAGAAAGAACACGUGAAAAAUAUAAACUUUACUACUGUAAUUAAUAAGUUUGCAGAAGCGAAGUGUCGGAAAAAGAACUUCUGAAGGAAAUGUGUCCUUAACGGUGAUUACGUUAGUGCAAAAGGCUCGAUGUCCCACCGUGGUUUGUACAUCGGCAAUAUGUAAGCAAUGUUUUAUUUGUUGAAUCGUUGUAUUAGUUUUUUAUCAGUUGCGCAGUGUCGAAUAAAAGAUCUUCCUCCUA